rnacentral:rRNA from 1 species
GCGGCGGACGGGUGAGUAACACGUGGGCAACCUACCUGUAAGACUGGKAUAACUUCGGGAAACCGGAGCUAAUACCGGAUAACUUCUUUCUUCUCCUGGAGAAAGGUUGAAAGACGGCUUCGGCUGUCACUUACAGAUGGGCCCGCGGCGCAUUAGCUAGUUGGUGAGGUAACGGCUCACCAAGGCAACGAUGCGUAGCCGACCUGAGAGGGUGAUCGGCCACACUGGGACUGAGACACGGCCCAGACUCCUACGGGAGGCAGCAGUAGGGAAUCUUCCGCAAUGGACGAAAGUCUGACGGAGCAACGCCGCGUGAGUGAUGAAGGUUUUCGGAUCGUAAAACUCUGUUAUCAGGGAAGAACAAGUAUCGGAGUAACUGCCGGUACCUUGACGGUACCUGACCAGAAAGCCACGGCUAACUACGUGCCAGCAGCCGCGGUAAUAA